CAUUUGAGAGAUUUGAGAGAGAGAGAGAGAGAGAGAGAGACUGGUCGAUGAUGCUGGAGAAAAAGUGAUGGGAGGGAACCUUGAGAAAUGAAAAUACUUUGGAGCCCCAUCCUCAUCUAAAACGCUCAAGGGAUACAUGUCAUAAGAGGAUUAAUGUUUUACUUUACAACUCCCUUGUCAUGUGCCAUGCUAGAUGCACAUGCAUUUCUCAAUAUCAAAUUUGGGUUCCUGGCAUCAAUCAUUAAGAUAUUUGAAAACAAGUUGUGGACUUUUGGGGGAUUUUCAACUGAAAUUAAGAUUUCGUUCUUUGAUAAGACACCAUGUAUGUAAAUACAUAUUAGGUAUAUGCAUAUGCACCCACAACCACAUGGAUGUAUACAUACACAAACAUUGUCAAGAAUUUAUAGAAAGAACUUUGGAUUCAUUAGGCAACAAUUUUGGAACUAGCUUUUUAUCUAAGCUUUGGUUUUAACCAUGACCUAAGAUCAAAUGGAAUUAAUAAGAGGCAUAGAGAUUUUAUUUUGGUAAGAAAAUAUCUGAAGGAGAAUAUUUAGACUAUGUUAUGUACUUGAAAAGGUGGAAAACAAAAAAGAAAAUGAAGCAUAAGAAGAAUUAGAGGUAUCUUAUUUUAUCCACUACUUCAUCCACUCAUGGUCUUCUAAUCAUCUUUACCAACUUUUUACACAUCUCAAAUAAGGACUAAAGAAGAGCUCUACAUUUUAAAUAUCAGUUUUAAGAUCUCUUGAGUUUGGAGAACCAUGUGCUAUAUGUAUGUAUGUAUGUAUGUAUGAAAUUUAAGAAGAGAUAGUAGGCAGCCUUAACUAAAAGUUUGUCUUUUUAGAAAAACAUCAGGGAUGCAUCACCAACAUAUUGCAACCUUGAACAUUUCCCCAAGAGAGCGAUAACAACCAACUGAACUAAAACGAGUUAUAUAAAAUGUUUUUAUUAACAAUUGUAUAUUGAAUCUACCAACUUUAGAGGGAAAGGAGUCGCUGAUGGUCUAAAUUUCGCGGGAGUAUUUUUUGGAGGCUGUUAAUGUAGCAUUGACUCUAUAAAAUGGUUGCUCUAAGAGAACAUAAAAACUUAUCGAUCAAUAUUUUUACCAAAAGACUUGGCAUUUGCAUCCAUGUAUAUCAAAAAGAUUGAGUUUAUUGUCUUAACAUUAUCCGCUCUCCACUACGCAGUUAUGUGGUUUGGGUUUGCUCAAGUAAAGGACCAUUCUAUAAUUGAGUUAGUUCACAAACCAAAAUUCAAAACCAAGCCAGGCCAACCAACUAAGAUUGGCUUGGUUUGGGUUAGUUCUGAUGUUACCUUUUUUUUUUGAAUAUAUAUAUAUAUAUAUUCUAUAAAGAAAACUUAUAGAAAAUAUAUAAUAGACGAUAUAAAACCAUGAAUAACCUAUUGAACAGUACUACAAAACUUAAAAGCUGAAAAAUGAAAAACUGUCUAAUAUAUGACAUGUAAUGACAAAAAUAAAACCAAUAUUCUAUUCAACAAAACCAAAAUUAACAUUUCUAAGUCUUUCAUCCUGCAAAUUAUGAGGUGAAAAAUAAAUUGAACAUGAGUAAACCAAGCCUAGAUCUAGCUUGAUCAUUUUAUAAUUGAAUUGAGCUUGAGUCAUUUUCGAGUCGUACUUAUGGUCUUCACAAACAACUCAGUUAAAAGAUCUAGUGGGAGCUUGAGAUCUUUCAAAGCUUAUGUUUACAUAGUUUGAGUUAAUUAUCUUGAUUAAAAUAAUAUAUAUUUCACAAAAUUAUGUUUUGAGAUUAAUUGAUAGUUUUUUACCUGAUUGGGGAGAAUGACGUAGUCGUCUCAAUCUACUCAACUCGAAUAUUUUUCUAAAAAUAAAAAAAUUAAAAAAAAAGUUGAUGAAAGUAAGGUCUAGAUCUCUCUUUAUUUCUUUAAUAAAUUAUAAAUUAAGUUACAUAGUCUCUAUUUAUACUAAUGAUGCCUGUUCUUGCACAUUUCAGACUUGAAUGUAUCUUUUACGAAAUAAAUAUGGCUAGUGGAAAUAAUUUUGAAAAACUUAAAAUUUUUUAGAAGGUAGAUCUUGACUUUUAUAUCGACCUUGCCUAUUGCCGCUUUGCUUAACUUUUCUCAGAUUAGAAUAUAUAUCUUGUUAAAGUCUUUCUUAUAAAGAAAUCUUUUGCAUUGACUGUCUUGUUUGUGGCUUAAAUAAUAGAAAAUGAUCUUUAUCGCUCGGUGCGCCAUAUGUUUAAGAGGUAGCAACACAUUGUGGAGCUUGAAAGUGUAUCCAAUUAAAAAAUAAAAAAAAACCUCAACUGAACGUUGCAAGUUAUAGCCUCCGAAAAUUUGGCAUAUGAUUUGGCUUUUCAAUUUGGUGGAUCUCACCCCUAAACUUGUUUAGUUCUUCCUAUAGUGGCCAAAGUAGUGCACAUCGAUUUUAGUUAUCAUUUUAGAUCAAUUUUAGUUUAGCUCUUUGACAAAUUGGGUGAGCUAAAUUUGGAUCAAAUUUUCAGCCAAACACACAGAGUGGGUAGAAAGGGUGUUGAUCGGUGGGGUAGAAGUAAGGAAAGGUCUCCUGGAAUUUAGAAUUUAGGCUAAUGCACUAUUUCUCCUUUCACCCUCAAACAAAUAAAUAUGAGGCUAAAUUUUAUCAAUAGUAUAAUAUCAAACAAAUCUUAAAAUAUAAUACAACAUUAAAAAUAUAAUACCAUAUAAUAUAUGUAAUAUAAUGUAAAUUGAUACUUGAUCUUGAAUGGAAUUAAAUCAUUUGAUUUUUCUAAACAAGAAAAAAUAAACCUAGCAAAAACUAAACCUAGCUAUGAGGCUUGUCCGAACGUCACAUUUCUACCAGCUAAAUGACAUGCAUAUGGGCUCCUCCCCUUGAGGAUCCCACACAAUAAUGCGGUUUUGGACUUGGGAUGACAGAAAAGUGCUCGUUGAGUGGACCAUUUGUUGCUCAUGCCUUUUUUUGUUGUUUUUUGACUGCCUCUCCGACUUGGAAUGGCGUGGCCACCAAGCGCCAACGCGAUGAAUCGAUGGAGCACUUCGUGCCAACCCACCACCAAGUGUCCUAAUGUCUUUAUGCUGAAUAUAAUACAUUUUCUCUGGAUAAGAAUGGGACACACUUCAUGAACAAAAAAGAAAUUAAGACUAUAUAUUAGAAAAUAUUGUAGUUUGGCUUCCGCUGUAAUUGCUACUUCUUUUACUCCACAUGCAGUGCACCAUACCCAUCACAUCCAUUUAUUUAUGGGAACACCAUUCAUCAAGCACUUAUUUCAAUACCCUGAAUGAAUGGCUAUAAUUGGCGAUCAUGUGAUGCAUAUAUAAUUUCUCCUUCUAGUGGCAUACCAUACCGGAUCGAACCGUGCCUAAAUUCCGAAAUGAUACUCAAACUUUGGAAAAGGCAGGUAUAUUGAUGUAAAAUUAGCUCAGUUUAUCUGUUAAAAUCUAAUCAUGAAGCACUCUUGGAUGGGAUCCUUUGUAUUAUAAACCAUCACAAAGCCAGAAAAAGGGAUUUCUUUUUGAGAAGAAGGAAAUAGGAUUCUUAACUUCGAUCCACAAACUCAAAGAGGAAUCUGGGAUUAAAAAAAGGCAUACCUGGAUUGGAGUGGCCGUUUUCCAAGCCGAAGGCCAUAGGGAAAUUGACCAACGGCAAGUCAGCAACAAGGCUUCCCUACAAACACCAGGAGAGGAAAUG
rnacentral:lncRNA from 1 species